AAACCAGAUAAGUGGGGCCUUUGAGCUUACUUCUGUUAAAGUUUGGACAUUGUCACUGUAAUUGAUGCCUUGGCUUUGCAGGCUUCCCUCCCUGGAAAUGGUCAAGCCUUCACUAUCUCCAAUAUAUCUGAUAUUGAAAUUUCGUAUAGGUAAAUGGAGCAAGAAAAAAAAUUAAGGUAAAUAGUGAAUGAAUAGAGAUGGGUUAUUAAUGCUUGUAUCACCUCUGAUCUUCUGCUCCUUCAAUUUUAUGAAUUGUCACCUAUGGGUCAUCAUGAAUUUCCAGAACCAAAUUAGAUUUUGAAAUAAAAAAAAAUUUUAAAUGCUUGAGGCGGUCACUAGACAGUGAGAGAGAACUAACAUGUAGAAUGGCACCGGAGUUGGCAAACUUAAGCGGCAGAGAUACGGUAACAGGUUCAGUUUCUGCAGCAAAAUCAGCAAAAUCAAUCGAAGCUUCACCGAGAAACCCUGCUUUUGAAGAUCCCUGCAACCAAACCCGGAAAAAAUCAGCAAAAACCACUCACCAGUGGAAACUUAAACAAUGGGGAAGAAAAGCCAAAAAGCUGAGGAAUUAUUACAUUUGAAACAACGAAAUGCGUCGGCCUCCCAACAUCCUCCGGCACCAGCGCUAUCGUUACGGCGGACUUUUUCAACCGUGGCACCUGAAAAAAAAAAAAAAGAGGCUAAAUCAGGUAAGAGAUCUUUCAAAAACUCUAAUAAAUUUCUUAACUAGGAAUCUAACUCAGUAGUACCUGAGUUGCCUGAAACUGCAAUUGAAACACUACUUUGAUCUUCUUCUUGUCGCUCUUCCAUGCCUUAAACAUCGUUUACUUUUUUUUUCA